AUAUUAUUUUGUUAUAAAAUAUUAAGUUCUUGUGUUUUUUCUGUAGCCCGAUCUUUAGUAUAAACUAAUGAAUAACCGAUUUCGAAUCUCGCGACUGUUUUGUCAGGCCGCUAUGCACACUAUCCUUAAUAUUAGCAUCGUGUGUGUUAAAAUACUUGUCUAAUUACUUAUUAGUAUUCAUUACUAACUCCGGUUGUUGGUGUGUACACCUUCAAGUCGUUGCUGGAAACAAUUAUUUAGUUUUAACUAAAUGUGUAUUCUAUAUAUUAUACCUAUUGGUUGAAGAGAUGAGAUCAUGAUAUAAAUCCACAUGUUUUUGUGUUAGGAUAUUUUACAUUUUUGAAUUCACAACUUUCUGAUUCUGUUUAUACAAUUGUUCAAUUGUUGUCUAAACCAGUUCUUCCAACUUGUUCAAUAGGUAAUAUAAUGAAAACAAUAUAUUUAGAUAUUGUUUUACAUUAUAUGUAUUAUAAAUUAUAAUACAUUUUUAAUUCCAUACAACUAACAAAUUUACUGAAGUAAAUUGUAAUUCAUUUAAAAAAAAAACAUUACUCAAUUAGGUACUUGAUUCUGUACAAAACAUUUUGAGUAGUCAGGUGACAUUGCGCUAGGCUCACUGUAAAUGCCAUUUUAUAUUGUAAAAAUUGCUUGCUUCACACAAAUAUUUAUCAACCAAAAAAUUUUAUUUUUAAAAUUUAUUUUACAUAUAGGUAGGUAAUGUGUGAUUUAUGUGUCUAAGUCAGUGUUUCCCAAAGGGUGUGCUGCAGCACAUCUAGUGUGCCUUAAAAGUUGUGCCGCAACAACUUGAACUUUUUUUUAUUUUAUUACCUAAUAACGAUAUUAUUCGAUUAGUAGAUAAUAUUUAUCCUAAGUAUGCCGUGACUUUUUUUUUUUUUUUGUUGGUUGAACCGACGACCAGGAAGGGACUGCUUUCACAUUACUUCCUCCCGGCCGCCAUAAGUGUGCCGUGACUUAUAAAAAUUAAUAAUAAUGUGCCGCGAUAAGGAAAAGUUUGGUAACCACUGAUCUAAGUCAAUAAAAGUAUUAAAAUUUCAACAUAAUAUUGUUAAGUUUUUUAAGCGUGGAAAUUCUUAUAAUAGGUAGGUAUGUUAGUUAAAUGGCUCGUCAUGGGGAUGGAUUAUAGUGAUUCCUGAUGCUUUGUAAAAAAUAUUUAUUUUAAUACUUCCUUGAAAGUUUCUUUUGCUUUGCUAUGAUUCCUAAAUAUUGGGUUUUACUGUACCUAUUAAUAUUGUUAUUGAAAUAAAAAGAGUACUUAAAUGAAAUAAAUUAUUCUAUAACAAAGCAAAUGUUUCAUAUGUAUGUGGACAUUACAAACACUUGUUUUAAUUUUAAUACUUUUAUUAACAAACUAUUUUUUUCUCAUUUAAAAUAAUCAAAAACUAUAACAUAAUGAUUAUUUAUAAAGUUAUACUACCAAGAUCUUUGUGUAUUUUUAAAUAUUUGUGAUUGUAGAUGUUAUUUAUAAUUGCCAGUAUUUUUAAAGAAAAUUAUAAACUAUUAUCCCUAAUGCUACGAUUAAUUAAUAUAAAUUAUUUUUGUGUCAAAUUAUUUAAUUUAAUUAAUAUAUCAGGGUAAGGUUAAUCCUCGGUAGAAUCCUACUAGGUAUCACAUAGAAAUAUUUCUAAUGUGUGUUGAAUUAAUGGCUAUGUAAUUUAAUAAUAACAAUAUUUAAUAUUAAGUAAAGUGGUUUAAACACAUUUAAAUUUAAAAAUUGUUAUAAUAGAAAGCUUAUAAUUUUUAAGAUUUAUCAGUACUUUCUAAAUAAUUAAUGUAUCCAAUUUUUAUUAUGAAGUAUAUACAAUUAAUUUAUUUUACUAAAGGUAUAUCUUUUAACUAGUAGGUAGUUAAAAGACUACAUGUUUUCUCAUUAAAAAUAUUCUAAUGGAUAUAAACCUGGCUAAAACUAUCAUAUUUUAUUUUAUUAAUAAUAUUUAUGGGUUACUCUUCAUAAUGAAAUAUUAUAUUCUAAUAAUUAUGUUCAUCUUUGAUGACAAUUACUUUAUCACCACCCACCUCUGAACGAAUAAAAAAACAUUUUGUAUUCAAUUUGUAUGAUGACCACAUAGUUCAUUUGAAAAAAGAUGAAAUAUAGCUAUAAUGCAAUUGUCUUUCGCUCCUAUCUGAAAUGUGAAUACUAAUGAUACUUAUUUUUAAGCUAAUAAACUUAUUAAUACCCCUUUCGCCACGCUUUAAUUCCUAUCUUUGGGUUUUAUUGUGCCAUUUCAUAUAUUUGAAAUUUCAAGGGUAAAGAAAAUAAAUUAUCCUACUAGGAAACACAAUGAAUUGUUUCAUAUGUGUGUCGACAAUAUGGAUACAAAUAUUAAAGUAAAAUAUAGAGUAAAUGAUAUAUUUUUUUAUAGAAUGAUACCAUAUCCUUGAUAUGUGUAUUCUUAAUUAUACCAUUAAGAGGAUGCUUAUUGUUAUUAUUAACCAAUAGUUUUUUCUGAGAGGAAAUUAUAAGAUACACUCUAUAAUAUGAUGAUUAUUUAUUAAUAUAUACUACCAAGAUCUUUGAGUCUAUGUGAUAAAAAAAAGUAUCUGAGUAUUUAAUUUAAAUAAAUUUUUUUCUUAAAAUGAUGACAUAUCAUUGAUAUCUGUAUUUUUAAUUAUACAAUUAAUGACCCAAUUCUGUUAUUUUAAUAUAUAAGUUAUAGUUAUAAUGUAUUCUUCAUGAUGAGAUAUAUUUCUUAUUAUUCUGAUCAUCUUUGAUGACAAUUACUUCAUCACCACCCACCUCUGAAAGAAUAAAAAACAAUUUGUAUUCAAUUUGUAUGAUGACCACAUAGUUCAUUUGAAAAAAGAUGAAAUAUAGCUAUAAUGCAAUUGUCUUUCGCUCCUAUCUGAAAUGUGAAUACUAAUGAUAAUUAUUUUUAGGCUAAUAAACUUAUUAAUACCCCUUUCGCCACGCUUUAAUUCCUAUCUUUGGGUUUUAAUGUGCCAUUUCAUAUAUUUGAAAUUUCAAGGGUAAAGAAAAUAAAUUAUCCUACUAGGAAACACAAUGAAUUGUUUCAUAUGUGUGUCGACAAUAUGGAUACAAAUCAAAAAUGUAUAUCAAAAUAUCUUAUUAUUGUUAUUAUUAACCAAUAGUUUUUUCUGAGAGGAAAUUAUCAAAUACUCUUAUUAUGAUGAUAAUUUAUAAAUAUAUACUACCAAGAUCUUUGAGUCUAUGUGAUAAAAAAAAGUAUCUGAGUAUUUAAUUUAAAUAAAUUUUUUUCUUAAAAUGAUGACAUACCAUUGAUAUCUGUAUUUUUAAUCAUACAAUUAAUGACGCAAUUCUGUUAUUUUAAUAUAUAAGUUAGAGAUACAAUGUAUUCUUCAUGAUGAGAUAUAUUUCUUAUUAUUCUGAUCAUCUUUGAUGACAAUUACUUCAUCACCACCCACCUCUGAAAGAAUAAACAUUUUGUAUUGAUUUUGUAUGAUGACUACAUAGUUCAUUUGAAAAAAGAUGAAAUAUAGCUUUAAUGCAAUUGUCUUUCGCUCCUAUCUGAAAUGUGAAUACAAAUGAUAAUUAUUUUUAAGAUAAUAAACUUAUUAAUACCCCUUUCGCCACGCUUUAAUUCCUAUCUUUGGGUUUUAUUGUGCCAUUUCAUAUAUUUGAAAUUUCAAGGGUAAAGAAAAUAAAUUAUCCUACUAGGAAACACAAUGAAUUGUUUCAUAUGUGUGUCGACAAUAUGGAUACAAAUAUAAAAGUAAAUUAGGGAUUAAAUGAUAUUUUUCUUAGAAUAAUGCUAAAUCUUUGAUAUCUGUGUUUUUAAUUAUACUAAUAAUGGCCUUAUUCUGUUAUUUUAAUAUAUAAGUUAUGGUUAUAAUGUAUUCUUCAUGAUGAGAUAUAUUUCUUAUUAUUCUGAUCAUCUUUGAUGACAAUUACUUCAUCACCACCCACCUCUGAAAGAAUAAAAAACAAUUUGUAUUCAAUUUGUAUGAUGACCACAUAGUUCAUUUGAAAAAAGAUGAAAUAUAGCUAUAAUGCAAUUGUCUUUCGCUCCUAUCUGAAAUGUGAA